rnacentral:rRNA from 1 species
GGUCAUUGCUAUUGGAGUUCGAUUUAGCCAUGCGUUGCACGAGUUUAGACUCGUGGCGGAAAGCUCAGUAACACGUGAUCAAACUACCCUAUGGAUUCGAAUAACCUCGGGAAACUGAGGCUAAUUCGGAAUAAGGCUCCAUCGCUGGAAUGCGUGGAGCUGGAAAUGCUCCGGUGCCAUAGGAUGUGAUUGCGGCCGAUUAGGUAGACGGUGGGGUAACGGCCCACCGUGCCGAUAAUCGGUACGGGUUGUGAGAGCAAGAGCCCGGAGAUGGAUUCUGAGACAAGAAUCCAGGCCCUACGGGGCGCAGCAGGCGCGAAAACUUUACACUGCACGACAGUGCGAUAAGGGAACUCCAAGUGCGAGGGCAUAACGUCCUCGCUUUUGUGUAUCGUAAGGUGGUACACGAAUAAGAGCUGGGCAAGACCGGUGCCAGCCGCCGCGGUAAUACCGGCAGCUCAAGUGAUGACCAAUUUUAUUGGGCCUAAAGCGUCCGUAGCCGGCCAGACAGGUCCGUCGGGGAAAUCUGCUCGCUCAACGAGCAGGCGUCCGGCGGAAACCCGCUGGCUUGGGGCCGGAAGAUCCAAGGGGGUACGUCUGGGGUAGGAGUGAAAUCCUGUAAUCCUAGACGGACCACCGAUCGCGAAAGCACCUUGGAAGGACGGACCCGACGGUGAGGGACGAAAGCUAGGGUCACGAACCGGAUUAGAUACCCGGGUAGUCCUAGCUGUAAACGAUGCUCGCUAGGUGUGGCACAGGCUACGAGCCUGUGCUGUGCCACAGUGAAGACGUAAGCGAGCCGCCUGGGAAGUACGUCCGCAAGGAUGAAACUUAAAGGAAUUGGCGGGGGAGCACUACACCCGGAGGAGCCUGCGGUUUAAUUGGACUCAACGCCGGACAUCUUACCAGCAUCGACAAUAGCUGUGACAGUCAGUGUGAUGAGCUUACUAGAGCUUUUGAGAGGAGGUGCAUGGCCGCCG